ACAGUUCCGACCUGGCGACUCCCGACUCGGCCAAGUUCAACACGACGCGAAGAGUCAUGGCCACCUUGCUUCACCGCCUUCUGAAGGACAGCAGCAUUGGCCCCGCUUUCCUGGGAUGUGAAACAACAGCCUUCAGGCCCGUCAGGCAAGGGGACG